GGGGAUUUAGCUCAGUUGGUAGAGUGCUUGCCUUGCAUGCACAAAUCCCUGGGUUCAAUCCUCAGCAUCACCA
rnacentral:tRNA from 1 species